UACGGAGGGUGCAAGCGUUAAUCGGAAUUACUGGGCGUAAAGCGUACGCAGGCGGUUGGGCAAGUCGGAUGUGAAAGCCCCGGGCUUAACCUGGGAACUGCAUUCGAUACUAUCCAGCUAGAGUAUGGGAGAGGGAAGUGGAAUUUCCGGUGUAGCGGUGAAAUGCGUAGAUAUCGGAAGGAACACCAGUGGCGAAGGCGACUUCCUGGCCCAAUACUGACGCUCAGGUACGAAAGCGUGGGGAGCAAACAGG
rnacentral:misc_RNA from 1 species